rnacentral:rRNA from 1 species
AGCGAACGCUGGCGGCAGGCUUAACACAUGCAAGUCGAGCGGGCCUUUCGGGGUCAGCGGCGGACGGGUGAGUAACGCGUGGGAACGUGCCCUCUGGUUCGGAAUAACUCAGGGAAACUUGAGCUAAUACCGGAUACGCCCUUUUGGGGAAAGGCUUGCUGCCGGAGGAUCGGCCCGCGUCUGAUUAGCUAGUUGGUGAGGUAACGGCUCACCAAGGCGACGAUCAGUAGCUGGUCUGAGGGGAUGAUCAGCCACACUGGGACUGAGACACGGCCCAGACUCCUACGGGAGGCAGCAGUGGGGAAUAUUGGACAAUGGGCGCAAGCCUGAUCCAGCCAUGCCGCGUGAGUGAUGAAGGCCUUAGGGUUGUAAAGCUCUUUUAUCCGGGACGAUAAUGACGGUACCGGAGGAAUAAGCCCCGGCUAACUUCGUG